rnacentral:lncRNA from 10 species
CUACAAACAGAUGAUGUGUUCUGAUAGAAAUAGGCUAGGUUCCUGCAGCAGGUGCUGUCAUUUUGGAAGAGCUCAAGCCGUCUCACACCCUCAGGUGGGCCUGCUCAUACCUGUGGUGUGGGUUCUACCUGGCUGAUGGCUGAGGGUCUAGAAUUGUGUGCAGUAGCGUUGAUCGUGUACUGAGGUUGCAAACAGUGAACAGCACCAUCUGGACAUCGUGGAUUAGAAUGCAGGAGCUUCCCAAGGCUGCUAUGACAAAGGACCACAAACUCAGUGGCUGCAAAACACACAUUUAUUUAUUUGUUGAUAGAGCCUUGCUCUGUCACCCAGGUGGGAGUACACUGGCUCGAUCUUGGCUCACUGCAACCUCCGUCUCCUGGGUUCAAGUGAUUCUCCUGCCUCAAUCUCCUGAGUAGCUGGGAUUAUAGGCACACACCACCCUGCCCAGCUAAUUUUUUUUUUUGAGACACAGUCUCGCUCUGUUGUCCAGGCUGAAGUGCAGUGGCACGAUCUCUGCUCACUGGAACCUCCGCUUCCCAGGUUCAAGCAAUUCUCUGCCUCAGCUUCCCGAGUAGCUGGGAUUACAGGCGCCGGCCACCACACCUGGCUAAUUUUUGUAUUUUUAGUAGAGAUGGGGUUUCACCAUGUUGACCAGGCUAGUCUGGCGACUCCUGACCUCCAGUUAUCUGCCUGCCUCGGCCUCCCAAAGUACUGGGAUUACACGUGUGAGCCACCACGCCCGGCCCACACAUUUAUCAUCUUACAGUUUGGGAGGUCAGAAGUCUGAAAUAAAUUUUAGGGGCAGGGCGGGUUCUAGGAGUCUUUCUUGCUUUUUCUAGCCACCAGAGGCUGCCCAUCUUCCUUGCCUCUUGGCCUGAUCUUUUUUUUUUUUUUUUUUUUUUUUUGAGACUGAGUUUUGCUUUUGUUGCCCAGGCUGGAGUGCAAUGGCGCGAUCUUGGCUCACCACAACCUCUGCCUCCUGGGUUCAAGCGAUUCUCCUGCCUCAGCCUCCCGAGUAGCUGGGAUUACAGACAUGUGCCACCACGCCAGGCUAAUUUUGUGUUUUUAGUAGAAACGGGGUUUCUCCAUGUUAGUCAGGCUGGUCUCGAACUCCUGACCUCAGGUGAUCUGCCUGCCUCGGCCUCCCAAAGUGCUGGGAUUACAGGUGUGAGCCAACGCGCCCGGCCCUUGGCCUGAUCAUUGUAAAGCCUGCUUCCACUUUCCCAUCUCCUUUGACUUUGACCUUUUGUAUCCCUUUUUCACUUAUUAGGACCUUUUAAGGACAUUGUGCCCACCUGGAUCACCCAGGAGACGCUCCCCAACUCAAAAUCAUUAACUGAAUCACACCUGCAAAGUUGCAAAGUCCUUUUAGCUGUGUAAGGCACUGUAUUCACAGAUCCUGGGGGCGAGGACGUGGGGGUCUAGAGACGCAUAUCUUCGGGGGCCAUGAUCUGUCUCCUAUAUUAGGGACAUAGCAGAAGUCCCACUGACCAGAUAGAGGAGACUUAAUAGAGUGACGAAGAAACUGUAAAAAGCUAAGUGGGAACUCAACAUUUUUCUGCUCACAGCUCUCAAGGGAAAGACCAAAGUCCUCCCCGGUGGCCUUCAAGGUAUUAUAUAUCACCCCUCUGACCUCAACUCCCCCUCCCCUUUGCUCAGUGGGCCCCAACCACACCAGCCCCUUCCUGCUCCCUGGACACCUCUAAGCCUUUUCCGGCCUCUGGGUUUGACUUUCCCUCCUAGACCCAUCUGUCCUUGGAGUCUCAUCUCCGAUUCCAGCUCAAAUGUCAUCUUCUCUGAGAGGCCCACCGCAGUGGCCCCAGUGAGAGAGUAUCCUCUCUCCCCGCCUCCCACCACAUGGCUGCUGGUCACUCUCCUAUAAGGAAUCAUCUGAAAUUAUCUGCUUUAGUUAUUCAUUUCUUGCCUGUCUCCCCCAGAUAGGAAUUUUCCCUCCCUGAGACCACCAACUGGGUCUGCCAUGUACACCGCUGGGUUCUGCAGCUCUGAGCAACCUGUCCGGCUGCUUUGUAGGUGCCCAGCACAGGUCACUCCUGUGCCCGCCAGGACUGGUCAGAGUGGAACAGACAGGGCGGAGGGGGCAGGGCAGCCCUGCCCGCCUGGACAGCCUGGAGAAGGCGGGAAAACGAGGCGGGAAAAGACAGCAAACAAGCCCUGCGGGUGGGUAGAGUGGGGAGCCCUGGCAGGCCCUGACGCCAGGCAGUGGGGCUUGGGGCGAUCGGGCGAGCCAUCAGGGUGCAGGUGGUCUCCUAGGGGCCCCCCACAUUCCCUCGCAGUAUUUACACAUUGAUUCCGGCCUUCUUAGACCUACUGGUCAAUGCGUGCGAGUGGGGGGCUGCGAACGGACUUGGACUUAAGAGUUCAGGGGGUCUGUACCCUGGGGGUCCCCAAGGCUCCUGGGGUGUCCACGUGCGGGGGGUGACCAGGCCCUGCCACGCAGCCCCUUUGCACGCUGGGCGCGCCCAGC